ACGGGGCUUCCCGCGGGGCCCGCUGAGGGGGCCGGGCGGGGGAAGGGGAAGGGGCCUCACCCCGCCGGUGUUGGCGCCUCCGGUGUGGGUCGGGGCCCGAAAUAUAAUUCGGUCUACAUUUUAUAUGGUAUCUUCAGAAGAAAUUGCAGUCACUCUCAGAAGUUAAUUCUAACCCAGUUAAAGACCGGCAGAAAUUGGAGAGGCAAAGAAAAAAAUGGAAAUCAUCAUACUAAAGCUUACAGGUGCUCCUCCAUGACUCUCAAGGACUUUCGAUGCCACUUAUAGCCAAGGUGAAUGGCAAGUUUCCUCUGAAUUGAAAACGGACCUACACUUUCUUCCAAGACCCGUGCCACAGCCUGAAAUAGGGGUAUCGAUGAAGGAAUUGAACAUGGAUGGCCCCAGCACACAUUUAUUCUACUGGUGAUAAGGAAAAGACUGUACUGGCCCUAUUAGCACAGAGUAUCUUUUAGAUGUCUGUAAACUUCUGGAAGUUGCCCCUCUACUUCUCCUGCACUUGUCGUGCUGCAAAGAUCAAGUAUAUUGUUUUCUAAGGCCACAUUACCAUUUAGGGGAUAUGGCUUCUCUAGAGGAAUGGGAGCGGGGAGGAGAAAUGCAGACAUCAAGAAGUACUUCUUGAGAGCAUAAAAUUGUACUCAAAAAGUUCUUACCCCUGUUUCUGUCCAGUCCACGCUAAAAACUUUGUCUUCAUGAGCAGCCAAAUCAUAGAGAGGUGCUUUGCAACUAAGAAGAGAGGUUUAUCACAUUAGUAGGCAACACAUAUCAAAUAGGAUGAAGAUUCUCAGGAAUUCAGUGUGACCUCCCACAACGGAACGCCCCUCUCCAGCGGGCAUCUGAUUUGGAGACUGACAGGUACCAAGCAAGCACGAUCGUCUGAUCCAUGGAGGCAGUGACGAGCAGGCAAGACAGACCAUCUGCAGAGCGAAUACGGCACAGGCCACGUCUUUCACCACUUCUGAAUGUCCAGCAAUUGUCAUAAUGGACUUUCCUUCCAAGGACCAUAUCCGAGCCGUCUUAUCG